UAUAGGAAGUAGGGACUUGGAACGCCAUUUCUUUGUGGUUUCAUACGGAGAACGUAUGUUUAUAUUUAUAUGGCUAAAAAAAAUUUGUUUCAUCGUUCAUGAUGAGUACAUUAUUCUUCCUCUGAGAGUUGUCUAGCCAUUGCUGUCUGCCUUGAGUAAUCGUCUUUGGUAAUUUGAGUAAUUAUUACGAGUCCUAUUUUUGUGGUUUAAGGUUUCGCUACUGGCUAUUACAAGGUAUCAGGCCUACCGGUAGACAAGAGCAUAGCUCAGAGCCUAAUGAAUUCCUGUCAAAAUUACCAUUAUUUAAAGACUAGAUUGGUUUUGGCUGCGAAAUUUAAGCAUUUUUAAGUUACUGCUUUUCGUGUAAUGGUACUUCAAGAUAAAAAUUAUAAUGGUACUGCAAGAUUAAGUUGUUUCCAUGUACUGACAAGGGCCAUUAGGUUGAACUCUGAUAUUUAAGUUGAGCCACCUCAAUUUUUUUCCUGAUAGUUUCACUGAAUUCCUGUAGUAGACAUAUCCUGAGAUAGUGGAGUGUAGGUGCUUAAAGGAACCUCUUAUAGAUUAUUUUUUUCUAUACACUUUGAAACAGUGGGCUACUUUGCGUACUUUAACAGGUUCCAGUCUAGAAUAAAUGGACGAUACUUUGUCCAUUUAAUUUGCACACUAAUGAUUAUUCAGAAAAGCUCAUAUGUAUUCAAAAGUUUUAAGGUGCGUAGUGCGUAUAUACAUGAAGAAGGCGACUUUGUCGGUUUGGACAGAUCUUGAUUUACGCGACUUGGGUGGGGUAGGGGUUGAGAUUGCGCCUAGUUUUAUGUGGGUGACGGAAGUGUAUUUGUGUUACACAAAUAUUUCGUGUAGUUGUGUCAAGACACUUUGGCAGUGCCUUAUAUAAGUGGGCCGGGAAUGUGUAAGGCCCUGUCCACAAGGACGAGCUUUGCUCGUUGUGACGUUGUUAGCACAGAUACAGCGGAAAAAAAGUUCUGACUUUCCAAGUUCCUGACGUCACUUCGAGUUCAAAAGCAGUUAGUCGAGCUAAGUUCCACCGUGUGGACGGUGCUUAACCUUACAACAUUACAGUGCUAUAUAGCCUAAUUGUCAGAAGCCGACACUGCAAAAACAAGUAAUGUAUUGGUGUAAGAAUAUCCCAUCAUGCCAGUCACGUCUCCAGUGAUGUUUUAGGGUAGUGCAGUCAAGGUCUGUGUCGAGAACUCGAAAACUGUACGAAGUUAAGAAGUUUGCCAAAGCAACGCUCAUGAUCCCCUUGGUGGAAGCCGCAGCAGACACACACACACACACACACUGGCAUGUUGUUCAAGGCCUGUGAAGAUGAUCCAUAGGGAACUGUCAAGAAACUUGCUGAAGACAGUAUUCUCAAUGCAAGGGAAGCUGAGGAGAGACAAGAGAAUCGUCAGAGAUAAGAGAGGCAAGAGAAUCAGUCAAGAGAAGAAAAUCCGUCAGACGAGAAUCCGUCAGAGAUAAGAGAGGCUGGAUUCCGUCAGACAAGAGAAUCCGUUAGAGACAAGAAAAUAGUCAGUUAAGAGGCAAGAGAAUCCGUCAGACAAGAGAAUCCGUUAGAGACAAGAAAAUAGUCAGAUAAGAGGCAAGAGAAUCCGUCAGAGAUAAGAGAGGCUGAGGCUGGAUUCCGUCAGACAAGAGAAUCCGUGAGAGAAGACAAUCGUCAUAAAUCCGAGAGGCAAGAUAAAUAAUCAUUAGUCAAAGAAUUGUCUGAACAAAAAAAUCUGAGUAGCCGGUAAUCCAGGGCAGUAUAGUAAGCCUCUGGACCAUUCCCUUUCUUUGGCCACUCAAGAUCUCUACUCCUGGUGUAUAUAGAGUUAACUGAGAAACUGUAUUAUUGUAAAUACAUCAACAUCAAGAAUAAAAGUAUUUAAACGAUUUUCCAUUUUCCUACCUUCAAGCUAAAGAGGAAAUAAAAAUUAUUUUUCGACCAUCGACCACUAAAAUUUAUUUCGCCAGGUUGACAAUUUAACUAACUUAAAUAUGAUCAAUACACCUUGGAAUAAGAGCCAAAAUAAUUAUAAAGGUCCCUAUCUUAUCAGUGCUUCAAGAGGAGCCCAUGCCAGCACAAGGCCGGCUUUAUCUUAAAUAACGGGAAAACAAUCUUAAUAGACCGAACGCCUGGAACUUAGCAAAAUAUAAAGUCCGUUUUUUCAGGCGUUCUGUCUAUUGGGUGAGUUUCCCUUGUGCUGGGAUGGGCUCUCUUGCUUCUGAAGAUGGAGCCAACCUUGUGCUGGCAUGGGCGCUAUGUAUAACUUGCUACGUCCCUGCUACGGCUAACCGGAUAAUUAUUACCUUCCCAUUUCCAGUGAACACUUCAGUCCAUUCUCGGUCCACUAUGCAAGGUAAAGUGUCAGAUCAUCUGUACAGUCCUCCUGUAGAAAAAAAAAUGCUGUCAGUGCUUGUGCUAAUAACCAGUACGCAAAUACUACUCUUUCUGCUACAACACCCAAGAUGAUAAGAUUUCGGUGAUCAAUUCUUUGUGGAGGGACAUUGAGAACCUCAAUCAAAAAAUGUAUAGCUGCCAUACCAAGCACAAUUUAAGCAAAAGGAAGGACACAAGGUUGGCACUUCCUUAUUAAAGUCCAAUAGAAGUAGUCAAGACGAUCAGACUAUAAAAAUACUACCUAAAAGCACAACAAAGCCAUUUUGAAAAAGCACUCAACAUUCCAUAACCCACUUAUAGAUAUUGCUUCACCUAAUUAAGUACAGUUAAAUAAAAAAAAAAAAAAUUUUUUUUUGCUAAUCCUACAGCAAUAUGUGACACUUUCAGCGUAACUGCGUUAAACAAGGCUGAACAUUGACAGCUUAAGUUGCAAAAUAGAUUGGCACCUUAAAUUAACUGACGCUUUGGGUGUCUGGCUUUCUGAUGCAUAAGGACCCUGGGCCUAUACUGUCACCUGUACUUUAAACAUGUUCCAAGAUAUCCUACAGCUAACAGCAAUUCCACAUAGUUUCCAACCAUAAACUAACUUGUAAUACGCAUUUAUUCAGUAUGAGAGAUUAAAAUGAAUCUCACCUAGGAUGUGAAAAAACUUAGUAAAUAUUUUUAAGAUAGUAAAAGCACUCAGUCAAGAUUUUAUCUAACGUUUUUAAGACCCACUGAAACUACAUGUCAGGUAUUUCAUUAGUACUAAAAGUCAACCAUUAACUAAUAAAACACAUGAUGAUGAUCACGUGAUACUGACAACUUUUCACCAUUGAAGUUACA